GGCACAGGUUUCAAGUAGAUUGGAUAAGUAGGGCCAGCUGAUGCUACUUAUCUACCCUACUUCAAAUUUGUGCCC
rfam:Haemonchus contortus, ISE/inbred ISE, WGS project CAVP01000000 data, contig: Hcontortus_20728